rnacentral:rRNA from 1 species
CACGCCGUAAACGAUGAAUACUAGGUGUCGGGGUCCACAGGAUCCCGGUGCCGCAGCAAACGCAUUAAGUAUUCCACCUGGGGAGUACGUUCGCAAGAAUGAAACUCAAAGGAAUUGACGGGGACCCGCACAAGCGGUGGAGCAUGUGGUUUAAUUUGAAGCAACGCGGAGAACCUUACCAAGCCUUGACAUCCUCCUGACGGCCCCUUAGCCGGGGAGUCCCUUCGGGGCAGGAGAGACAGGUGGUGCAUGGUUGUCGUCAGCUCGUGUCGUGAGAUGUUGGGUUAAGUCCCGCAACGAGCGCAACCCUUAUCCUCAGUAGCCAGCGGUCCGGCCGGGCACUCUGUGGAGACUGCCGGAGAUAAUCCGGAGGAAGGUGGGGAUGACGUCAAAUCAUCAUGCCCUUUAUGGCUUGGGCUACACACGUGCUACAAUGGCGGUAACAAAGUGAAGCAGCCUCGCGAGAGUGAGCCAACCACAAAAAAACCGUCCCAGUUCGGAUUGUAGUCUGCAACCCGACUACAUGAAGCUGGAAUCGCUAGUAAUCGCAGAUCAGAAUGCUGCGGUGAAUACGUUCCCGGGUCUUGUACACACCGCCCGUCACACCAUGGGAGUCGGAAAUGCCCGAAGCCAGUGACCCAACCUUAGGGAGGGAACUGUCGAAGGUGGAGCCGAUAACUGGGGUGAAGUCGUAACAAGGUAGCCGUAUCGGAAGGUGCGGCUGGAUCACCUC